CCUACGGGGGGCAGCAGUGGGGAAUAUUGGGCAAUGGGCGAAAGUCUGCCCCAGCAACGCCGCGUGAAGGAAGAAGGCUUUCAGGUUGUAAACUUCUUUUGACAGGGAAGAGUAGAAGACGGUACCUGUCGAAUAAGCCACGGCUAACUACGGGCCAGCAGCCGCGGUAAUACGUAGGUGGCAAGCGUUGUCCGGAUUUACUGGGUGUAAAGGGCGUGUAGCCGGGUUGACAAGUCAGAUGUGAAAUCCUGCGGCUUAACCGCAGAACUGCAUUUGAAACUGUUGGUCUUGAGUACUGGAGAGGCAGACGGAAUUCCUAGUGUAGCGGUGAAAGGCGUAGAUAGUAGGAGGAACACCAGGGGCGAAGGCGG
rnacentral:rRNA from 1 species